GCCGGACUCUACUCCCCCCCUCCUCCUCCUCCUCCUCCCUCUCCCUCGACGCUCGGCAGCGACCCGCCGCCCCCACGAGGCAGCCGCGCGCUCGCGCCUCGACUCAAAAGCAACGGCUCAGCGUUCGCUCGCUCGCUCGCCCCCCGGGAGAGGGAGAGAGGGAGGGAGUGGGGCUGUGGGGCUUCGGCCGCUCUCAUUUACAUCUUCAACAGGGGUCAACUUGGCCUAGUGAUGCUGUCGAUAUCCUCCACUGCUCCGUGUCACUGUAGGCUGCACAUCUACACGCUCGACUUCUGUGGGAUCUCCAGCGGCAUCCAAUCCAUGCGAUCCCCCAGCUGCUGCAGGGCCUCCAGUAGCCGACAUUUUGACCCACGAGCAUGCCAUCUCCUCGCCUCCCGCAGCUACCGCUUCACUUCCAUGCACUGGGGCACCUCUGCGCAGCCGACCUUGGAUCGCCAGGAUGCCUCCGAGAGUGCAGGAGACGAGCCCACAAUCCACGCACCGGCACUGAUCUUCUCCUCUAUUCAUGAUGCAAGAGUGUCUCCAGAUGAAUAGCUAUUUCAAGAAACCAGCACAGGAAUGAAUCAUUGAACAAACUCCUCACAGGAUGUUAUAAGCUACUUACAAGAUUUGUAUCAAUGUAAACUUUACGGUUCUGAAGUUUGAGCUGCAAUAUGAAACAUUCUUCUGUAAAUCAUCACACAUUUCUUGACUCUUUAAUUCUGUGUUGUUAGUAUUUGUGCAAUUAAUUAAAAAACGGAUAUAUUUAUUUUUGUUAUAUAUUAAAAUGUGUGAAGUAAA